rnacentral:rRNA from 1 species
UCCAGACUCCUACGGGAGGCAGCAGUGGGGAAUAUUGCACAAUGGGGGAAACCCUGAUGCAGCGACGCCGCGUGAGUGAAGAAGUAUUUCGGUAUGUAAAGCUCUAUCAGCAGGAAAGAAAAUGACGGUACCUGACUAAGAAGCCCCGGCUAACUACGUGCCAGCAGCCGCGGUAAUACGUAGGGGGCAAGCGUUAUCCGGAUUUACUGGGUGUAAAGGGAGCGUAGACGGUGAAGCAAGUCUGAAGUGAAAGGCGGGGGCUCAACCCCCGGACUGCUUUGGAAACUGUUUGACUGGAGUGCAGGAGAGGUAAGUGGAAUUCCUAGUGUAGCGGUGAAAUGCAUAGAUAUCGCGCAGAACUCCGAUUGCGAAGACAGCGUACCGGCGCCGGACUGACGCUGAGGCACGAAAGCGUGGGUAUCGAACAGGAUUAGAUACCCCCGUA